rnacentral:misc_RNA from 1 species
UCCGGCUUGUCACCGGCAGUUCCUUCAGAGUGCCCGGCCAAACCGCUGGCAACUGAAGGUGAGGGUUGCGCUCGUUGCGGGACUUAACCCAACACCUCACGGCACGAGCUGACGACAGCCAUGCAGCACCUGAGCAGGCUGCCCUUGCGGGCUCAUUGCCCUUUCAGGUUUUUACUACCUGCUUGUCCAGCCUGGGUAAGGUUCUUCGCGUUGCGUCGAAUUAAACCACAUGCUCCACCGCUUGUGCGGGCCCCCGUCAAUUCCUUUGAGUUUCAGCCUUGCGGCCGUACUUCCCAGGCGGGGCACUUAUCGCGUUAGCUGCGGCACUGACGGGGUCGCUCCCCCCAGCACCUAGUGCCCAUCGUUUACGGCGUGGACUAC